rnacentral:sRNA from 1 species
UUGCGUUAGCGAUUGAUACGGCAUCCUUUUUUGUGCGCGCUUAUGCGCAAAAAAGAUAUAGUGGAAAGCGCGACCCUUG